GGUGGAGUUUCACAAAAGGAAGCCACCAGAUGGAGACCCAUCUCCACAUGCUAAUCUAAUUGCACCUCCUCCCAGACCUCAGAUGCCAGAUAUGAUGCUUAACUCUUCCUCCACUGUCUCUGAUGCCUUUUUGAAUGGUAGCAAAUCUGAUCUCAAAGAAGAAAGAUGGCCUUUCUUGCUCAAGACCCAUGGCUACAAGUUGUAUGCAUCAGGAUAAUGACAUGCAUAUGGUCACAUGCUGCUGCUGCUGCUGCUGCUGCUGCUGCUGAGUCGCUUCAAUCGUGUCUGACUCUGCAACCCCAUAGAUGGCAGCCCAUCAGGCUCCCUGAGCCCCACACAUUUUGCCCUGGUCCUGGGUCCCUAAUAGGGAGACUGAAAUGGAGUAACUCCCAAGUUUCUGUGAUAUUUAGCAGUCACUCGCUUCCAGUUCUAGAAGGACUUCCAGGGAGGACAGAGUAAAUAAUCCAUCUGCAAUGUAUACUAAACAAUAUCAUUGAGAAAAGAAUAGUUUUCCCAAAGUAAUGCCGUAGGGGGCUUGGCCUCUGGUCCGUGCUAAGUGCAGCAGUUCACACCUUCCUAAUAAACUGCUCCCCCAAAUGCAAUAGUCUUUAGAGAGUUACCAGCA
ensembl:lncRNA